rnacentral:rRNA from 1 species
UAUGUCUGGGAACUGCCUGAUGGAGGGGGAUAACUACUGGAAACGGUAGCUAAUACCGCAUAACGUCGCAAGACCAAAGAGGGGGACCUUCGGGCCUCUUGCCAUCGGAUGUGCCCAGAUGGGAUUAGCUAGUAGGUGGGGUAACGGCUCACCUAGGCGACGAUCCCUAGCUGGUCUGAGAGGAUGACCAGCCACACUGGAACUGAGACACGGUCCAGACUCCUACGGGAGGCAGCAGUGGGGAAUAUUGCACAAUGGGCGCAAGCCUGAUGCAGCCAUGCCGCGUGUAUGAAGAAGGCCUUCGGGUUGUAAAGUACUUUCAGCGGGGAGGAAGGGAGUAAAGUUAAUACCUUUGCUCAUUGACGUUACCCGCAGAAGAAGCACCGGCUAACUCCGUGCC